rnacentral:rRNA from 1 species
AUUGAACGCUGGCGGCAGGCUUAACACAUGCAAGUCGAGCGGGGUGAUGGUGCUUGCACUAUCACUUAGCGGCGGACGGGUGAGUAAUGCUUAGGAAUCUGCCUAUUAGUGGGGGACAACAUCUCGAAAGGGAUGCUAAUACCGCAUACGUCCUACGGGAGAAAGCAGGGGAUCACUUGUGACCUUGCGCUAAUAGAUGAGCCUAAAUCGGAUUAGCUAGUUGGUGGGGUAAAGGCCUACCAAGGCGACGAUCUGUAGCGGGUCUGAGAGGAUGAUCCGCCACACUGGGACUGAGACACGGCCCAGACUCCUACGGGAGGCAGCAGUGGGGAAUAUUGGACAAUGGGGGGAACCCUGAUCCAGCCAUGCCGCGUGUGUGAAGAAGGCCUUAUGGUUGUAAAGCACUUUAAGCGAGGAGGAGGCUCUUUUGGUUAAUACCCAAGAUGAGUGGACGUUACUCGCAGAAUAAGCACCGGCUAACUCUGUGCCAGCAGCCGCGGUAAAAC